GUAGGGAAUAUUGGGCAAUGGUCGGAAGACUGACCCAGCCAUGCCGCGUGCAGGAAGACGGCCCUCUGGGUUGUAAACUGCUUUUAUCUGGGAAGAAAAAGGCCAUGCGUGGCAAAUUGCCGGUACCAGAUGAAUAAGCACCGGCUAACUCCGUGCCAGCAGCCGCGGUAAUACGGAGGGUGCAAGCGUUGUCCGGAUUUAUUGGGUUUAAAGGGUGCGUAGGCGGCUGAUUAAGUCAGCGGUGAAAGACUCCGGCUUAACCGGAGCAGUGCCGUUGAUACUGGUUAGCUUGAGUGUUGGAGGGGUACAUGGAAUUGAUGGUGUAGCGGUGAAAUGCAUAGAUACCAUCAGGAACACCGAUAGCGAAGGCAUUGUACUGGCCAACAACUGACGCUGAUGCACGAAAGUGUGGGGAUCGAACAGGAUUAGAUACCCUAGUAGUCC
rnacentral:rRNA from 1 species